rnacentral:rRNA from 1 species
AUUGAACGCUGGCGGCAGGCCUAACACAUGCAAGUCGAACGAGUGGCGGACGGGUGAGUAAUGUCUGGGAAACUGCCCGAUGGAGGGGGAUAACUACUGGAAACGGUAGCUAAUACCGCAUACCAUCGGAUGUGCCCAGAUGGGAUUAGCUAGUAGGUGGGGUAACGGCUCACCUUGGCGACGAUCCCUAGCCGGUCUGAGAGGAUGACCAGCCACACUGGAACGUGGAAACGGUCCAGAGGCCUACGGGAGGCAGCAGUGGGGAAUAUUGCACAAUGGGCGGAAACCGGAUGCAGCCAUGCCGCGUGUAUGAAGAAGGCCUUCGGGUUGUAAAGUACUUUCAGCGAGGAGGCGGUACUCGCAGAAGAAGGACAGGCUAACUCCGUGCCAGCAGCCGCGGUAAUUC